rfam:Astyanax mexicanus chromosome 3, whole genome shotgun sequence.
CCACAGGUUCUAUUAAGAACCAUCUGCAAUUGGGUUUUGAACACUAU